GUUUUUUUUUAGGUUCUCAUAGCCGAUUCUCAAGAGCAGGCACUGCCUGAUUUGUCAACUGUGACAGACCAGCUAGGUACGGUCCUUUCAACAGUGAGUGGCGUUGUACAAAGUUUAGCUAAUGGUACGCUUCUGUCCGGAAAGAAAUAAACGAAUUGAUAAUUUAUUAUACCAAAAAGAUUGUUUUAUGGAAAAUAUGUUUUAUCUGGUUAAUUUGUUAUUAUGUUAAUAAAGUCAUUGAUUUUAA